GUGGUUGAGUCGCGCCGGAAGGUCGGGGCUGGGGGAGCCGCCGUUGGCUCUGAUGCCCCUGGGGGUGGGGGCACGAGUGGGCAGGGUGAUGGUGAGGCAGACGUGGCGGCCCCGACCCGGCGACCUCGAGGGAGCGCCCGGCUGAGAGGCGGGGGGCCGAGGGGCCCAGGGAGCGGGCGCCGCCGAGGGCCCUGGAAGCGGCAGGGCUGGGGGAGAGGGGACGCGUGUGUGGGGCACGGGGACCCCAGCCCAGCUCCCACUUGCAGACCUGGGCCGCGGGCUGCCGGCCGAGUGGCCGGGGGGCCUGGCUGCCCAGGAGACGGGCCGGGGCCGCGGCCGGGGGCGCGGAGCGGACACAGGGGCGCCCGGCCGAGCCGAGGUGGGACGGACCGACGCAGAGAGGAAGGGAAGCCGCCUGGCCUGAAGAUCCCGUCUCUAAGAUCCCAUUCUGAGGAGACUCAGGUCAGAAUGGAGAUGGGCUGCAGACAGGGCAGCUAUUGUCAGCUGCUGGAACUGGCUUCAGGCUCAUGUUUCUGACUUGGAAUAUCGAAUUCGUCAGCAAACAGACGUUUACAAACAGAUAUGUGCUAAUAAGGUGCCAGAAGCCCAGGAAGCACAUAUCAAGGCUCACUUGCCAGCGAGGUGCUGCCAAUAGAAUGUAGUCACGUGGAAUUUUGGAAUGUGGAAAGGAGGUAGAAGUCAUCCUUUCCUCCCCCGUAGCAGCAGGCGUGCAGGCUCUGGUGGUCAGCUGGACUCCAUACUCCCCCACCAGUCACCAGCCUGGGGACUGUGGGGACUGCAAGGACCUCAGCAGCGGUUUCCCAAGUUUCCUGACUUCUUCCGUCCUCUGGAAAUCAGCUGUGGUAAAGUAGCCUGAAAGCCAGUGGUGCAACCCCCUCCCCCCAACCUUCACCACCUCUAGCCCCUCCAAUGAUAAGCACUAAUUACCUAUAUACAACCCCUUAUUGUUUGAAAUAUCUCGAGUAAUUUCUGUUUUCCUAUCUGGGGUAGUGGAACAUAAGAAGAAAUAUACAUUUGGUCUCUGCCCACAGUUCCUAACACAAAGCUCCUAAAACCCUUGGAAACUCCUGAAUGAUGGUGGUGCUGGGCAUUGUCUUCCUUUCUUAAAAAAUUUAUCAUUUUUCUUUUCU